rnacentral:rRNA from 1 species
AUUGAACGCUGGCGGCAGGCCUAACACAUGCAAGUCGAGCGGAUGAAGGGAGCUUGCUCCUGGAUUCAGCGGCGGACGGGUGAGUAAUGCCUAGGAAUCUGCCUGGUAGUGGGGGAUAACGUCCGGAAACGGGCGCUAAUACCGCAUACGUCCUGCGGGAGCAAGUGGGGGAUCUUCGGACCUCACGCUAUCAGAUGAGCCUAGGUCGGAUUAGCUAGUUGGUGGGGUAAAGGCCUACCAAGGCGACGAUCCGUAACUGGUCUGAGAGGAUGAUCAGUCACACUGGAACGGAGACACGGUCCAGACUCCUACGGGAGGCAGCAGUGGGGAAUAUUAGACAAUGGGCGAAAGCCUGAUCCAGCGAUGCCGCGUGUGUGAAGGAGGUCUUCGGAUUGUAAAGCACUUUAAGUUGGGAGGAAGGGCAGUAAGUUAAUACCUUGCUGUUUUGACGUUACCAACAGAAUAAGCACCGGCUAACUUCGUG